rnacentral:rRNA from 1 species
CACGUAGUUAGCCGGGGCUUCUUGUCCAGGUACUGUCAUUUUCUUCCCUGCUGACAGGGCUUUACGCACCGGAGUGCUUCUUCACCCACGCGGCAUUGCUGCAUCAGGGUUCCCCCCAUUGUGCAAUAUUCCCCACUGCUGCCUCCCGUAGGAGUCUGGGCCGUGUCUCAGUCCCAAUGUGGCCGUCCGCCCUCUCAGGCCGGCUACUGAUCGUCGCCUUGGUGGGCCGUUACCCCGCCAACAAGCUAAUCAGACGCGGGUCCAUCUUACACCACCGGAGUUUUUCACACCGCUUCAUGCGAAGCUGUGCGCUUAUGCGGUUUUAGCACCUAUUUCUAAGUGUUAUCCCCCUGUGUAAGGCAGGUUACCCACGCGUUACUCACCCGUCCGCCACUAACCCAUAUAUCACUAGGUUUCAAUAUGGGUCCGUUCGACUUGCAUGUGUUAAGCACGCCGCCAGCGUUCAUCCUGAGCCAGGAUCAAACUCU